rnacentral:rRNA from 1 species
UACGUAGGGUGCAAGCGUUGUCCGGAAUUAUUGGGCGUAAAGAGCUCGUAGGCGGUCUGUCGCGUCGAAUGUGAAAACUCGGGGCUUAACCCCGAGCCUGCAGUGGAUACGGGCAGACUAGAGGUAGGUAGGGGAGAAUGGAAUUCCCGGUGUAGCGGUGAAAUGCGCAGAUAUCGGGAGGAACACCGGUGGCGAAGGCGGUUCUCUGGGCCUUACCUGACGCUGAGGAGCGAAAGCGUGGGGAGCGAACAGG